GGUGAACGCUGGCGGCGUGCCUAAUACAUGCAAGUCGAGCGAACAGACGAGGAGCUUGCUCCUUUGACGUUAGCGGCGGACGGGUGAGUAACACGUGGAUAACCUACCUAUAAGACUGGGAUAACUUCGGGAAACCGGAGCUAAUACCGGAUAACAUGUUGAACCGCAUGGUUCAACAGUGAAAGACGGUCUUGCUGUCACUUAUAGAUGGAUCCGCGCCGCAUUAGCUAGUUGGUAAGGUAACGGCUUACCAAGGCAACGAUGCGUAGCCGACCUGAGAGGGUGAUCGGCCACACUGGAACUGAGACACGGUCCAGACUCCUACGGGAGGCAGCAGUAGGGAAUCUUCCGCAAUGGGCGAAAGCCUGACGGAGCAACGCCGCGUGAGUGAAGAAGGUCUUCGGAUCGUAAAACUCUGUUAUUAGGGAAGAACAAAUGUGUAAGUAACUAUGCACGUCUUGACGGUACCUAAUCAGAAAGCCACGGCUAACUACGUG
rnacentral:rRNA from 1 species